rnacentral:precursor_RNA from 8 species
CGUGCGUAUACAGGAAUGCUAGCUGUGUCUCGUCGGUGGAUGGUUGCUGGUAGUACCAUUGCCAGCCUAUCAGCAGUUGUACCACUGAUGUGACACGCCUUGCUUCUGCUGCAUCGAUCGGU